rnacentral:lncRNA from 1 species
CCAAUUAAAUUCAAAUAUAAAAUAUACAAGUUAAACUAUGCUUAUAUAUAUAUUAUUUAAAGAUGUCAAUCUGAUUUUCAAAGCUUGUAUAAACAACUAUACACACAAAGCAAGCAAGCCAACCAAAGUUUUACUUUGCAAGCAUUAGGAAAUCAGCUGUAAUGGUUUUAUUCAGUUUGGCAAAUGUCCGAGCCCGUUAAAAACGAAAACGAAAUGAAACUACAGUUGCUGACUUCACUACCUUUAAAACAAAGGGAACAGUUUGGAAGUAUUAUAUACUAAAAUGUGACAAAAAAUAAAUACUAGUCUUAUAGAUUUUUUUAACACUGCCAUGUAUGUAAAUAGUUCUUCGCCUUUUUCAUGAACACAAAAUUCAAGGAUCACACAUUUGCCUUUAAUUAUCUAUACGGAAAUUGAUGUACUCGUGAAUAUUAGCACCGGCUGUUAUCGACGGUUUACUAUACACUACUGCCUAGUAAGUUUGUCUCAUGGGUAAUGGUGUUUUUCGCUGUUGUUUCGUUGCUGUCUGGUGGAUGAAUACAUGAAAUCUCCGUGCCAUCAUCAAACAUAUUAAUGGCUAUAUAUCGGGUAAUUCAAACCCUUUUUUCUUCGCAUAGAAACAACUCUUCGUUAAUCUGAGCAUGGAAGGAAUACUUCGUACCACAAACUAUAAAUGAGGAUACACAAAAUGAAAAACU